UAGCAGCCCUUUUUCCUGCUGCCUUUUGUAACCGAUGGCCAAUAGAUACAGCAGCCUCCAACCAUGGCUCAAUAUCCAGUAGUAUUUAGGCCAUCUUGGGAGGUGACCCACUUUGUGCCCAGCUGCCACCAGCUGGAAACAUUUUUGGAAUGAAGAAUGACCUGUCCAAGGACUAGGGACCAGGUGGGCCAGUUAAACCCACUGUGCCUGUGGAGUCUUGGGUUAUCCUGUGAUGUUGGCCAAGACAGCUUCUUGUCUUUAUGCCAUGUGACGAAUGGGCCUGGUAGACAAUCACUGGGACAACCACGUGCAACAAGACAGCCAUUCAGUGCAGCAAGGAAGUUGCAUGCUAUUAUAAGUAGGUACUCUUCAGUCUUACACUUUGCUGAGAUUGUUGCUUGCUUGCAAUUUUAUAAUAUUUUUAUUGAAGAUUAAAGUAAGCCACAUUCUUCAAUGCCCCAAGGAGAAAGGAAAAGAUUUCAUUAGCUGCCACCGCUGUCUAUCCUAAAAGAAUGUUGCCCUGUCACCUAGGAGGGAAGCAAUGGCUGACCUCCAGCCACCUCUUCUAAGAUGGGGCUAGGGAAGGUAGAAGUGGGGGACUCCUGCUCUACUCAGACUUCUGAGGAAGUUCCAGGAGAAAAUAUUCACAAAGAAGGCACUGAGAAGGCAGUAAAUGUUUAAUAGCCACUCUUAUCUGAUUACUGCUCCAUGUUAUCCUGAGUAUAAAAGGAGGCUUCCUUUAAAACAAAAAUCUUCUGAUUGACUUAUGCCUUUUUCUGUUUUGAACCUUUACUUGCUGAAGAAUAAGAUGGGUAGGAGAAGGAGGGAGAGAAGGAGGAGCAGAAGGAUGAGGAGGAUUGGGGAGAAGAGGAAGAAGAAAAAGAAGAGG
rnacentral:lncRNA from 1 species